AUAGUUUGAACUGAUUGGAGCUGUGCUGUUCCUUAUAUAAUUUUAUUCAAAUUUGGUGGACAUCUUUGAUUUUUUUUCAAAUAAGGAAAUUUCUAUUAGUAAAUGAAUCAAAUGAAGAAUCGUCAUGGUUAAAUGCAUAGAAAGGAUAUUUGAAGAGAGCCAAUGAUUGACAUAAGGAGAAGCAGUUAUGAAUUUUGAAAUUGAUAUAAAGGAGAGGUCAUUCAUCACAGAAGAUUUAAUCAAAGUUUACAGUAUGUUGAGAGAAGUUCAGAACAAGCAAUUUGGUUGAAGAGGAGUUGUCAACACGUCAUCUUUGAACAAGGUCAAUUGUAUUAGAAGUGAAUCCUUAACAGAAAUGAGACAAUAAUCAAAUAAUUCAAAGACUACAUGGAUGUUAUCUGGACUAGCAUUUGUAUGACCUAAAUGUGGUAUUUUUCAUAUGAACACUUACAAGACAGAUAAUAGUCUGUGACAAACAUUUGUAUGCAGUUAAAGACUUGAAGAACUUGUAUGGUAUUCUUCAGAUUUCAGUAGAAUUUGUUUAAAACGGUACAUUCUUGGUAUGAAUUGAAGAAUUUUUGCUCAUUUAAAUGAAUUAUGAAAAUGUUUUAUAUGUUUAGAAUAAAAAACAACAUAAAAGAUAGACAAAUUUUUAUUUUCUUUCUUGAAACUUAUAACAGAAUAAAUUGUCAUAUGCUAA